rnacentral:rRNA from 1 species
CCAGCACCCCGAGUGGUCGGGACGAUUAUUGGGCCUAAAGCAUCCGUAGCCGGUUUUACAAGUCCUCCGUUAAAUCCAACUGCUUAACAGAUGGGCCGCGGAGGAUACUAUAAGACUAGGAGGCAGGAGAGGCAAGCGGUACUCAGUGGGUAGGGGUAAAAUCCGUUGAUCCAUUGAAGACCACCAGUGGCGAAGGCGGCUUGCCAGAAUGCGCUCGACGGUGAGGGAUGAAAUCUGGGGGAGCAAACCGGAUUAGAUACCCGGGUAGUCCCAGCUGUAAACGAUGCAGACUCGGUGAUGGACUAGCUUUAUGCUAGUCCAGUGCCGCAGGGAAGCCGUUAAGUCUGCCGCCUGGGUAGUACGGUCGCAAGACUG